AUCCGGCAACCGUAGCAGCGUAGCAGCAUGGCGCCUCGCUAGUAGUGUCGUGAUGUGUGCGUGCAGCCGUGUGUUUGGGCUUUAUAAGUUGGUUCUUUAUUCUAUGUUGCGGGACGGUGUGGGUGUGGUCCAUGUUGGCCGUACAGGUGGCAGUUAUGCAACUGAGGGAUGAUCCUGUUGAAGUUUCCGGCGGUAUGCGGUUUUCAGCGGUCAUGCCUGUUGCAGGAGUGUCACGUACUCGACGAGGUUACGAGCUCGAAGCUGUGGUCAGAUUCUUCGUUGGCGUUCCGUAAUUCUCUUCGCACGGGCGCGGGAUCUGAUGUGCAUAUCUGCAGUUUAUGGAUACAUGUAAAAGACAGCAUCAAGUGCAAGUGAACGGACCUACAGGCCCGAAGUCGAUCAUGCAAAUAGAUUCGCUGCACAAAUUUGUGACCAAAAAAGAUAUUCCACAUGAAAUGGCAUGCAAGGAAGUGUUGAAAAUAUUGCACAGUUAAUAAAACGCCUACGCUAUUAA